rnacentral:rRNA from 1 species
CUUCCUACGGGACGCAGCAGUGAGGAAUAUUGGUCAAUGGGCGGAAGCCUGAACCAGCCAAGUCGCGUGAGGGAAUAAGGCCUACGGGUCGUAAACCUCUUUUGCCGGGGAGCAAGGGCGGGGACGUGUCCCGGCCCGGAGAGGACCCGGAGAAAAAGCAUCGGCUAACUCCGUGCCAGCAGCCGCGGUAAUACGGAGGAUGCGAGCGUUAUCCGGAUUUAUUGGGGUUAAAGGGUGCGUGGGCGGGCUUUUAAGUCAGCGGUAAGAAUUCGGGGC